AACGAACGCUGGCGGCAUGCCUAACACAUGCAAGUCGAACGAGACCUUCGGGUCUAGUGGCGCACGGGUGCGUAACGCGUGGGAACCUGCCCUUAGGUUCGGAAUAACUCCCCGAAAGGGGUGCUAAUACCGGAUAAUGUCUUCGGACCAAAGAUUUAUCGCUUUUGGAUGGGCCCGCGUUGGAUUAGCUAGUUGGUAGGGUAAAAGCCUACCAAGGCGACGAUCCAUAGCUGGUCGGAGAGGAUGAUCAGCCACACUGGGACUGAGACACGGCCCAGACUGCUACGGGAGGCAGCAGUGGGGAAUAUUGGACGAUGGGCGAAAGCCUGAUCCAGCAAUGCCGCGUGAGUGAUGAAGGCCUUAGGGUUGUAAAGCUCUUUUACCCGGGAUGAUAAUGACAGUACCGGGAGAAUAAGCUCCGGCUAACUCCGUG
rnacentral:rRNA from 1 species